rnacentral:rRNA from 1 species
GACGAACGCUGGCGGCGUGCCUAAUACAUGCAAGUCGAACGAGAGCGACCGGUGCUUGCACUGGUCAAUCUAGUGGCGAACGGGUGAGUAACACGUGGGUAACCUGCCCAUCAGAGGGGGAUAACAUCCGGAAACGGAUGCUAAAACCGCAUAGGUCUUCGAGCCGCAUGGCUUGAAGAGGAAAAGAGGCGCAAGCUUCUGCUGAUGGAUGGACCCGCGGUGCAUUAGCUAGUUGGUGAGGUAACGGCUCACCAAGGCCGUGAUGCAUAGCCGACCUGAGAGGGUGAUCGGCCACAUUGGGACUGAGACACGGCCCAAACUCCUACGGGAGGCAGCAGUAGGGAAUCUUCCGCAAUGGACGCAAGUCUGACGGAGCAACGCCGCGUGAGUGAAGAAGGUGUUCGGAUCGUAAAACUCUGUUGUUAGAGAAGAACAAGUGCUAGAGUAACUGUUAGCGCCUUGACGGUAGCUAACCAGAAAGCCACGGCUAACUACGUG